rnacentral:rRNA from 1 species
UCGGUUAAAAAGCCGAAAUAAACACWUAAGACGAGAAGACCCUGUGGAGCUUUAAAUUCUAACCAAGACAUGCUAACGCAGCACGCCAUCAAUGGCUAACAAUUUUAAGUUGGGGCGACUUCGGAACUAAGAAAAACUUCCGAGCAUAAAGAGUAUUACUCUAACCUAGACCAACAAGUCAAAGCAAAUAUUGACCCAGUACCACUGAUCAACGAACCAAGUUACCCCAGGGAUAACAGCGCUAUCUUCUUCAAGAGUCCAUAUCGACAAGAAGGUUUACGACCUCGAUGUUGGAUCAGGACACCCAAAUGGUGCAGCAGCUAUUAAAGGUUCGUUUGUUCAACGAUUAACAGUCCU